CGCUGGCGGCGUGCCUAAUACAUGCAAGUCGAACGGUCUUUCUAUGGAAGCUUGCUUCCACUGAGAAGAUAGUGGCGAACGGGUGAGUAACACGUGGGUAACCUGCCCAUAAGAGGGGGAUAACAUCCGGAAACGGGUGCUAAUACCGCAUAGUUUUCUUGAUCGCAUGAUCGGGAAAGGAAAGACGGCCUUUGUGCUGUCGCUUAUGGAUGGACCCGCGGCGUAUUAGUUAGUUGGUGAGGUAACGGCUCACCAAGACGAUGAUACGUAGCCGACCUGAGAGGGUGAUCGGCCACAUUGGGACUGAGACACGGCCCAAACUCCUACGGGAGGCAGCAGUAGGGAAUCUUCCGCAAUGGACGAAAGUCUGACGGAGCAACGCCGCGUGAGUGAAGAAGGUUUUCGGAAUCGUAAAACUCUGCUGUCAGAGAAGAACAAGUCGGAGAGUAACUGCUCCGGCCUUGACGGUAUCUGACCAGAAAGCCACGGCUAACUACGUGCCAGCAGCUGC
rnacentral:rRNA from 1 species